rnacentral:rRNA from 1 species
CAAUAGCGUAUAUUAACGUUGUUGCAGUUAAAAAGCUCGUAGUUGGAUUUCUGGAGGGAGCGUCGGCCCGUAUUUACGAGUGCGUGACGUCUCUGUCCAUCCUUGCGGGAAGGCACGGCAUUGAUUUGUUGUGUCGGAUCGCAUCAUUUACUGUGAAAAAAUUAGAGUGUUCAAAGCAGGCUUUCGCUUGAAUACAUUAGCAUGGAAUAAUAAGAUAGGACUUUGGUGCUAUUUUGUUGGUUGAGCCUAAAGUAAUGAUUAAUAGGGAUAGUUGGGGGCACCUGUAUUGCGUUGUCAGAGGUGAAAUUCUUGGAUUUACGCAAGACACACAGCUGCGAAAGCGUCUGCCAAGGAUGUUUUCAUUAA